rnacentral:sRNA from 1 species
UAGGCAGCCCAAAAAGUCUUCUAUUUUUCCAUAGAACAGCCACAGGUACAACGUGGGAGAGAGCAGUACAGCCCUUCCCACCCUGCCCUGUCAAUGUGCAUCAGAUGUGACCUGACAGGAGCAGCUCACAGGAAGAGAAGAUAAUCCAGCCUCUGGGCCUAUUCAGUCCUUGGCCUCA